GUUCUCCACAAGUGUAUGUAAACUUUUGACCACAACUGUAAGUUAAGGUGACAAUUAUUAUUGUGGUAACAUCGCCAAAGAAAUCGCCAGCUUCGUCAGGUUUUUAAUCAUUUAUUUCAGAACUUGUGCAACACAACACGCUGACUGUCCGCCGCAGUUGACGCCAACAACAACAUUGAAGGAGAAAGUAAAAUCUCUACCGCAUCUAUCUCACUGUCACGUCAGCCACGGGGUGUGUUCAGUAAUCCACUGCUGAGCAGACUGUACCUCUGUGGGUUCUUGAACAGGGGCCAUUGCCCGUCCCCAUGAUGGUAAAGCUGUUGCCUGGUCCUGUCGUUCUGGAAAGCGCCAUGCCUCCUUCUGACUUAAGCUCAAUAAAGAGGCACUUUUUGGUGGAGGUUACAAAGAUGCGAUCAUCGCUCGUCCAGCGAACUUCCAGGCAGCGGGAUGACCUUUUUAUCACGCACGAGUUCAUAGCUCUGUUGUAGAGUGAAAAUGGAGAAUCUGUGCAGGGAAGCGAAACAACCAUCACAUGUGUGCACUUCCUGCAGACACUUCAACAAAGCCUGAACUGUCCAAAAUCAUGAAGCCGAUGAUGCAGGUUCUUUAAGUAAUAGAUAGAUCUAGAUUUUUUUGGGAUGGUGCUGGUUCACCAUAAUUAUAAACAAUAAACUAAUAUAUUUGUAAAAUUGAAAAACAUGCAUUUUAUAAGCAAAAAGAAACUAAUCUUGUCAUUUGUGACAGGUGAUGCAAUUUGUAAAAUGACAUUUUUAGAAAUACAGGUUAUGAUUAGAUUACAAAAAAACAUUUUUUUUUUUUUGCUUUUGUUUUACUUUAUGAAACUAAAGCCUAAAUAAUAAAGUGGCUCUUGUAACAGUACUGUUGUUCCUGAAUAUUUAACACUUAAAGCUAUACGCAAACAUAGUAAGAUCUUUUUAAUGUAGUACAUGGCGGAAAACACUCAGGUGACUUGAAGUUCUUCUCUGACACUUUGCCAAUUUAGCCAACUUUCAAAGUUGUUUGAUAUGCAUGUGUGAUACAUCAUUGGAAAGCUUAAAAUCUCAUCUCAAUCUCAAAUUUUCUAGGGGAAGAACAUUUCUGAACAGGAGGGCAUUUAAAAAAAAAAUAAAAAAAAUUAAACAGCAAAACCCUAUCUGGAGGUGAGAUGCCAUGACUUUAAUGAGAUAUUAUCGCGUAUUUACCUUUUUUCGAUCCAAAAACUCCAUGUUGCAUGUAUCACUGAGUGUCAAGACACAGCUGUGAAUGGCCACAGCUGGAUUUUUGGGAGAUUUUAUGGGUGAAACACGGUAAUAUAACAAGGGUCGCGAUGCAGAAAUCGCAGACAUCAAGGAGUGGUUGAGAUUUUCUUUUUCAUGUAUUUACCUUUUUAAACUUUUUUCCAAUUUUUCUUUGUUUGGAUCGAUUAUUUAUCAUCUAACAUAUUGGAAAAAUGCGACAGAAACAAAAAAAAUACAAUUAAGCGGUAGUUAUGAGGCAAAUAUCCGUGAUGUAAUUUGUUUAAAAGUUUAAAAUAUGCGAGUGAAUAUUUUUUGAAUCAUUUUUUUGUUUUUCCAACGAAAUAUUAGACAUCAAAUAAGGAUUCUAAGCUAAAAAUGACAGACAUUUUGAAUAAUAAAUAUAAUUAAUUAGCUUUGUUUUAUGGCUGGGUUGAAACAAAAGCGGUUGCGCGAAGUCUGUAAACAGGGUUUUCAGGGUAAAACGGGCAAAUAACAAUAAACUAGGCCUGCACAAUAUAUCGUUUGAACAGCGCCAUCGCAAUAUGUGCACGCGCAAUUGUCCAAUCGCAGAACGUGCAAUAGGUUUUUUUUUUUGUUUUAAGACAUAAAGCCUGUUUUGCUUCAUAAAAGCAGCAAGUGUGCAGAGACGUCGCCUCCUGGAUCUGUUUUACAUACAUCAAUCUUCAUAAUUCACAGAUGAAGCCCCUUACCCUGGAGUAAACUGUACUAUAUGAAUACAGUGUGAGCCUGGUGAGUCAAGCAGUCUUCCCAAACAAAUCUAUUCAAGUCAUCUGGUGAAAAUUGUACUAAUUUUAAUAUGCGAUAUAUAUCGCAAAAUAUCGCAAACCCCUAAAAAGUUGCAAUGUAAGUUUUUUCCAAUAUUGUUCAGCCCUACAAUAAACAAACAAAUAAAAUUAAAAAUGGUUCGGGGGCUUAAUGCGCCAUGAAUCUGUUAAGGCAGCAUAAAGACAUGGUUCUAUCAAACACAAUAGUUGUUUUGGCUCAAAAUACAGCAAUUUCUUUUAAAGACGAGUGCAAGAGUAGAAACUGCUUUUUCAGUCUUGUCUGUGUUUUCCGCCAUAUAGAUAUUCAUACUUAUUAUUGACAAUAAUUGUCCCCUUGAAAACAUAUGAAUGAAUAAGAAGUGUCAUAAUUAAACCUAUUCCAGAAUUACAUCAACUCAUGCAUAAUUGAUUGAAAAUAAAUGUAACAUUCAUAGUAAGCCACUAUAGUGCACCAGCAACAAAGAAUUGUCCACAUAAAGAGAAGAAAUUAAUACUGUACCGUCCAAUUUCACAGAUAAACAUAUUGAGACGAGGAGCGCAAAGACAGCAAACGUUAUCCAAGCGUUCGACAUUCUUCCAACAAGAGGUGGACGUGGCCCUUGCAUUGCAAGCAGGGGACUUGUGAGUGUGACCCUAAGAAAGGAAGACUUCUUAACACUUUUUUUUCUUAGCCUGGCUUCAUUGAGAAAGUGGCCUCAUUCACUUCCUGUCCUAGAGAGAGAGAGGUUGGGACAAAUGAUGUGCAAGACAUUUAUGCUAAACGUGACACAGUCACAAUUUUUUGCAGCGAUCCAUCCCCCUAGUCAUUGAUUUUUUUUUUUAAGUCCGUUUGUGUAACGUUUGAAGACAGUUUCACAUAAGUGCAACAUAGUUUUUUUUCAGUUGUUCUUUGUUCUGGUUUGUAUGUUGUGAACAGAGUCACGCGAAAACUAGACCGCUAAUGAUCGCAGAGCCAAGGAAAUACACAUUUUGGAGAAAGAUGCUAAUUUUACGAAGCAGUUAAGCUUUGAUAGAAAGAGGCUGCAGCACAUCUCAAAGCCAGUCUACAUAGGGGUGACACUUGACAGGUCUCUCACCUACAAGGAACACAUCACAAAGACAAAAGCCAAAGUGGCAUCAAGGAACAGCAUUCUCAGGAAGCUAACCGGCACAAAUUAGAGUGGUGAUGACAAGACAAUACAUACAACAGCGUUGGCUUUAUGCUUCUCUGCAGCGGAGUAUGCAUCACCUGUCUGGUGUAGAUCAGCCCAUGCCACCAUGUUUGAUGCAGCACUAAACUUGGCUUGCCGUGCUGUCACUGGCUGCUUGAAGCCUACAAAGGUUGAUGACUUAUACCUACUUAGUGGGAUUGCUCCACCAAGCAUCCGGAGGACAGUUGCAUCCCAAAAGGAAAAACUGAGACAAGAAACUGACACCCGCCACCAACUCUACAAUCAUGAGCCAACAGUAAAAAGGCUAAAGUCAAGGCACAGCUUCCUGCACUCU